rnacentral:sRNA from 1 species
UCAGUUUAAUUUUUCUGAUAGGCGCAUGA